rnacentral:rRNA from 1 species
CCUACGGGGGGCUGCAGUGGGGAAUAUUGGACAAUGGGGGGAACCCUGAUCCAGCCAUGCCGCGUGUGUGAAGAAGGCCCUCGGGUUGGAAAGCACUUUCAGUGAGGAAGAACGCCUGGUGGUUAAUACCCAUCAGGAAAGACAUCACUCACAGAAGAAGCACCGGCUAACUCCGUGCCAGCAGCCGCGGUAAUACGGAGGGUGCGAGCGUUAAUCGGAAUUACUGGGCGUAAAGCGCGCGUAGGUGGCUUGAUAAGCCGGUUGUGAAAGCCCCGGGCUCAACCUGGGAACGGCAUCCGGAACUGUCAAGCUAGAGUGCAGGAGAGGAAGGUAGAAUUCCCGGUGUAGCGGUGAAAUGCGUAGAGAUCGGGAGGAAUACCAGUGGCGAAGGCGGCCUUCUGGACUGACACUGACACUGAGGUGCGAAAGCGUGGGUAGCAAACAGGAUUAGAUACCCGAGUAGUC